rnacentral:pre_miRNA from 1 species
AGAGUACUCCCUCCGUCCGAAAAUACUUAUCAUCAAAAUGGACAAAAAGGGAUGUAUAUAGAACUAAAAUACAUCUAGAUACAUCUCCUUUUAUCCAUUUUGAUGACAAGUAUUUCUGGAUGGAGGGAGUAUUAA